rnacentral:rRNA from 1 species
AUUGAACGCUGACGGCAGGCCUAACACAUGCAAGUCGAACGGUAACAGGAAGAAGCUUGCUUCUUUGCUGACGAGUGGCGGACGGGUGAGUAAUGUCUGGGAAACUGCCUGAUGGAGGGGGAUAACUACUGGAAACGGUAGCUAAUACCGCAUAACGUCGCAAGACCAAAGAGGGGGACCUUCGGGCCUCUUGCCAUCGGAUGUGCCCAGAUGGGAUUAGCUAGUAGGUGGGGUAACGGCUCACCUAGGCGACGAUCCCUAGCUGGUCUGAGAGGAUGACCAGCCACACUGGAACUGAGACACGGUCCAGACUCCUACGGGAGGCAGCAGUGGGGAAUAUUGCACAAUGGGCGCAAGCCUGAUGCAGCCAUGCCGCGUGUAUGAAGAAGGACUUCGGGUUGUAAAGUACUUUCAGCGGGGAGGAAGGGAGUAAAGUUAAUACCUUUGCUCAUUGACGUUACCCGCAGAAGAAGCACCGGCUAACUCCGUG